rnacentral:lncRNA from 1 species
UGGAGGAAAGAUGAUGGCCUCCUUCAACAGAACUAUGAGUUGUCCAAGAUUUCACAAAGUUCUUCAAGCAUGGCAUUUGAUGAGGAGCCCUAAGAUGACUUGAGCCUCACGUCAACUCUCUUUGCUACCAACAAACAGUGGAAGACCAUUAAUUCAUCUUGCAGUCUUCCCUUGGGUACUUCAAGAUAUAUGAGCAAAUGGCUUAUAGAGCCAAUAAAGCGCCCCUCUUUGGAGACCACCACUUCAUGCAAUGGGGAGUGACAUUAGGGCUGAACUUUAAGAAAGAGAACUCUGACAGUAAUGAGAAGACAGAAAAAGAGAAUGACCAGAUAUCCAAAAUGGGAUCGUAGCAUCGAACAUGAGAAGGCCAUGCAUAAGAUGGGAGCACUUGGAGAAAAAGGCAUUUUACGACUGUCGUUUCCAAAAGUGUUAUGU